ACUUUUCUUCUUCAGGACUCUCUUGGCGGAAACUCGAAAACAAUGAUCAUUGCCAAUGUCAGCCCUUCUAUCUGCUGCGCUGCUGAAACAUUGAAUACACUUAAAUUUGCUCAGAGAGCAAAACUUAUUCAAAAUAAUGCUGUGGUGAACGAAGAUUCUACUGGGGAUGUAAUUGCUUUACAACAUCAAAUUCGACUUUUGAAGGAAGAGCUUUCUAUCCUCAAACG